rnacentral:piRNA from 1 species
UCUCAGGCUGCCGCAGGAGUGUUCUGAUC